AUGACGAAUCUCUAAAGUUGAAAAUAUCUACUUGGUAGUCUAAACCUCAAAGGAGCUUAGGGAAGUGAUGGCAGUUGCAGGGUAUGAAUCAGACGACCAUGCAGAGACCAACGAGGCGACCAAACAGUCCAUCGUGCAUACCACAUAACCAGGUCCAGAAUGCCAGUUUUCUUUAAGGGCAGCUGACAAUAAGAAUUGUCUAUGUAUGCACUACAGAUGCUGUUCAAUAUCUUUUCAUGAGGAAGCCUGCUCAAAAAGAUCGCCACAUUUUCUUUAGGGGAAGUUGACAUUAAUCUUUUAGGUUAAUAAUAACCUAUGCAUGCAGUACAGAUGCUGUUCAUCUUUUCAUAAGCAAGCCUGCUCAAGAAGCUGCUGCAUGGAAGUCAAAAUAUGAAUUAUUGCCACCAGUCUUGAAGUCAGCUUGUAAAGAAUGCUAAGAAUUGAAUGAAAAUGCUGUCUUGAUAUCUUGUUUGUACUGUUAUAUUUGUCUUUUGUGUUGGUUAAUUAUUCCAUGAAUAAA